rnacentral:rRNA from 1 species
GAUGAACGCUGGCGGCGUGCCUAAUACAUGCAAGUCGAGCGAACAGACUAGGAUCUUUCUCCUCUGACGUUACCUUCGUACCUUUGAGUCACACGUGUAUAACCUACCUAUAUGACUUGCAUCACUUCGGGAAACCGGAGCUAAUACCGGCUACUAUAUUCACCCACACCGUUCAAUUCUCAUGCUCCGUUUUGCUGUCACUUAUCGAUGUAUGCUCGCCGCAUUAGCUAGUUGGUAAUGUAACGGCUUACCAAGGCGACGAUGCGUAACCGCCAUGAGAGGGAGAACGGGCAGACGGGAACUGAGACAGGGCCCAGACUCCGACGGGAGGAAGCAGUAGGGAAUCCUCCGCGAUGGACCAAAGCCUAACGGUGCAACGCCGCGGGAGUGAUGAAGGUCUGAGGAUGGGAAAACUAUGAUAUUAGGGAAGAAGAAAAGCGUAAGUAACAAUGCAGGAAUUGACGGUACCUAAUCAGAAAGCCACGGCUAACUACGUG